rnacentral:rRNA from 1 species
AUUGAACGCUGGCGGAAUGCUUUACACAUGCAAGUCGAGCGGCAGCACGGGGGCAACCCUGGUGGCGAGCGGCGAACGGGUGAGUAAUACAUCGGAACAUGCCCAGUCGUGGGGGAAAACACUUCGAAAGAAGUGCUAAUACCGCAUAUGUCCUGAGGGAGAAAGCGGGGGAUCUUCGGACCUCGCGCGAUUGGAGUGGCCGAUGUCAGAUUAGCUAGUUGGUGGGGUAAAGGCCUACCAAGGCAACGAUCUGUAGCUGGUCUGAGAGGAUGAUCAGCCACACUGGGACUGAGACACGGCCCAGACUCCUACGGGAGGCAGCAGUGGGGAAUUUUGGACAAUGGGGGCAACCCUGAUCCAGCCAUUCCGCGUGAGUGAAGAAGGCCUUCGGGUUGUAAAGCUCUUUCGGCAGGAACGAAACGGCGAGCUCUAACAUAGCUUGCUAAUGACGGUACCUGAAGAAGAAGCACCGGCUAACUACGUGCCAGCCGCCGCCGUAAAAC